UACGAAGGGUGCAAACGUUGCUCGGAAUUAUUGGGCGUAAAGCGCACGUAGGCGGCUUGGCAAGUCGGAUGUGAAAUCCCUCGGCUCAACCAAGGAAGUGCAUCCGAAACUGCUGAGCUUGAGUACUUAAGAGGAUCGCGGAAUUCCCGGUGUAGAGGUGAAAUGCGUAGAUAUCUGGAGGAACACCGGUGGCGAAGGCGGCAUUCUGGACCGACAUUGACGCUGAGGAGCGAAAGCGUGGGGAGCGAACAGG
rnacentral:rRNA from 1 species